CUACGGGGCGCAGCAGUGAGGAAUAUUGCACAAUGGGGGGAACCCUGAUGCAGCAACGCCGCGUGGAGGAUGACGCAUUUCGGUGUGUAAACUCCUUUUAUAUGUCAAGAAAAUGACGGUAGCAUAUGAAUAAGCACCGGCUAACUCCGUGCCAGCAGCCGCGGUAAUACGGAGGGUGCAAGCGUUACUCGGAAUCACUGGGCGUAAAGGGCGCGUAGGCGGGUUGGAAAGUCAGGUGUGAAAUCCUACAGCUUAACUGUAGAACUGCACUUGAAACUUCUAAUCUAGAGUAUGGGAGGGGGAGAUGGAAUUAGUGGUGUAGGGGUAAAAUCCGUAGAUAUCACUAGGAAUACCUAAAGCGAAGGCGAUCUCCUGGAACAUUACUGACGCUAAGGCGUGAAAGCGUGGGGAGUAAACAGGAUUAGAUACCCGCGUAGUC
rnacentral:rRNA from 1 species